UACGUAGGGGGCAAGCGUUGUCCGGAUUUAUUGGGCGUAAAGAGCGUGUAGGCGGCCAGACAGGUCCGUUGUGAAAACUCGAGGCUCAACCUCGAGGCGUCGACGGAAACCGUCUGGCUAGAGUCCGGAAGAGGAGUGUGGAAUUCCGUGGUGUAGCGGUGAAAUGCGCAGAUAUCAGGAAGAACACCUAUGGCGAAGGCAGCACUCUGGGACGGUACUGACGCUGAGACGCGAAAGCGUGGGGAGCGAACAGG
rnacentral:rRNA from 1 species